rnacentral:rRNA from 1 species
GAGAGUUAAACAGUACGUGAAAUUGUUGAAAGGGAAACGAUUGAAGCCAGUCGUACCUUCGGGUAAUCAGCCUUUCGGGUGCGAUUCUGUGGAGUGUGAGGAGCUUAAACACCUUCAUGUUUUGCAUAUUCGUACUCUUGGGUGUACUUGUCCGUGUGGUUGGUUAACAUCAAUUUUGGUGGUCAUAAAAUGACUGGGGGAAUGUAGCUUCGAUCUUGUAUUGAAGUGUUAUAGCCUUCGGUAGAUGUGAUGAUCGAGAUUGAGGAUUGCAACGGAUACCCUUUGGGGCUACCUGUCUGAUCUCUGAUCGUUGCUUUGGUGCCGAAAGCUUGCUUACGGUUAUCAAAGUCGAUGGUCAAUAGGUUAGAACGGGUUAAAUUCGUUAAGGAUGUUGACGUAAUGGCUUUAAACGA